CCUACGGGAGGCAGCAGUGAGGAAUAUUGGACAAUGGGCGCAAGCCUGAUCCAGCCAUGCCGCGUGCAGGAAGAAGCAUCUAUGGUGUGUAAACUGCUUUUGUACAGGAAGAAACACUCCCUCGUGAGGGAGCUUGACGGUACUGUAAGAAUAAGGACCGGCUAACUCCGUGCCAGCAGCCGCGGUAAUACGGAGGGUCCGAGCGUUAUCCGGAAUCAUUGGGUUUAAAGGGUCCGUAGGCGGUUUAAUAAGUCAGUGGUGAAAUCUGGUCGCUCAACGAUCAAACGGCCAUUGAUACUGUUAGACUUGAAUUAUAAGGAAGUAACUAGAAUAUGUAGUGUAGCGGUGAAAUGCUUAGAUAUUACAUGGAAUACCAAUUGCGAAGGCAGGUUACUACUUAUGGAUUGACGCUGAUGGACGAAAGCGUGGGGAGCGAACAGGAUUAGAUACCCUGGUAGUCCACGCCGUAAACGAUGGAUACUAGCUGUUCGGAGCAAUCUGAGUGGCUAAGCGAAAGUGAUAAGUAUCCCACCUGGGGAGUACGUUCGCAAGAAUGAAACUCAAAAGAGUAGUAGAGNGNGAGAGAGACGACGACGACGACGGAGGGAGGAGG
rnacentral:rRNA from 1 species